rnacentral:rRNA from 1 species
GAAAUUGAAUAAGGGCGCAUGGUGGAUGCCUAGGCUCAAGGAGGCGACGAAGGACGUGGGAAGCUGCGAUAAUCUGCGGUUAGGCGCAACCGGCCAUUGACCCGCAGGUCUCCGAAUGGGACAACCCGCCGCCGAAAGGCGGCAUCACGCUAGAAGCGUGAGGCGAACGCGGGGAACUGAAACAUCUUAGUACCCGCAGGAAGAGAAAACAACAGUGAUUCCCCCAGUAGUGGCGAGCGACCGGGGAAGAGCCCAAACCGUCGGCGUUUCGGCGCCGUCGGGGUAGUAGGGCCGCAAUGUCGCACAAGCACCGUUAAGCGGAACGGACUGGAACGUCCGGCCAUAGCGGGUGAAAGCCCCUUACGCGCCGUCGGUGCUGGCGUAGCGGUUCCCUGAGUAGCGCGGGGCACGAGAAACCCUGUGCGAAUCCGCCGGGACCAUCCGGCAAGGCUAAAUACUCCCUUGAGACCGAUAGUGAACAAGUACCGUGAGGGAAAGGUGGGAAGCACCCCGUCGAGGGGAGUGAAACAGACCCUGAAACCAUGCGCCUACAAGCGGUCGGAGCACGCAUGUGCGUGUGACGGCGUGCCUUUUGCAUAAUGAACCUACGAGUUGCCGUCGCCGGCGAGGUUAACCGUGAAGACGCGGGGAGCCGCAGUGAGAGCGAGCCUGAAGAGGGCGCAUAGUCGGCGGUGGCAGACGCGAAACCAAGUGAUCUACACUUGGCCAGGGUGAAGUCCCGGUAACGCGGGAUGGAGGCCCGAACCGAUAAGCGUUGAAAAGCUUCCGGAUGAGCCGAGUGUAGGAGUGAAAGGCCAAUCAAACUUGGAGAUAGCUCGUACUCCCCGAAAGGCAUUUAGGUGCCGCGUGGGGUGUUCCGGGCGCGAGGUAGAGCGACCGAUAGGACGCGAGGGCUUCACCGCCUGUCAAGUCCUGACGAACUCCGAAUGCGCGUCCGCAGAAGCCCUGCAGUAAGGGGGCGGGUGCUAAGGUCCGCCCCCGAGAGGAGAAGAAUCCAGACCGCCGUCUAAGGCCCCGGAAUUCUGCCUGAGUUAGUCUAACGAAGUGUGCCCCCUGGGACAGCCAGGAUGUUGGCUUGGAAGCAGCCAUUCAUUCAAAGAGUGCGUAACAGCUCACUGGUCGAGGGGGCUCGCGUGGAUAAUAAUCGGGUAUAAGGCAGAUGCCGAAGGCGCGGGAUAUCGAAAGAACGUAUCGGUAGGGGAGCAUUCCAGGUGCGCAGAAUGCAAGGGGCGACCCAUGCUGGAGCGCCUGGAAAGGCAAAUGUAGGUAUGAGUAACGACAAGGGGGGCGCGAACCCCCCCCGCCGCAAGGCCAAGGUUUCCCGGGCGAUGCCAGUCAUCCCGGGGUAAGUCGGGCCCUAAGCCUAAGCCGAAUGGCGAUGGCGAUGGCAGACACGGUUGAUAUUCCGUGACUGCCCGUGCGGGCGAUGCGGCAACGGAGAAGUGACACCGCCGCGCGCAGACGGAACUGCGCGUUGAAGGGUGUAGGCGUCGAGGGGCGCAGUCAAGCACACGCCCCGAGCCGAACCUGAGAGUACGGCGCUCCAUUCGUGGAGGGCCGAGAGUGCGGGUAAUCCAGCUCCCAAGAAACCCCGCUAAGCUUAACCGCACGGGCACCCGUACCGCAAACGGACACACGUGGCCGGGUAGAGCAUACCAAGGCGUUGAGAGACUCAUGGUCAAGGAACUAGGCAAACCAGCCCCGUAACUUCGGGAGAAGGGGUCCUCCCCCUGUGGGAGGCGCAGCGAACAGGCCCAGGCAACUGUUUACCAAAAACACAGGGCUGUGCAAACUCGAGAGAUGAAGUAUACAGCCUGACACCUGCCCGGUGCCGGAAGGUUAAGAGGAGGCGUCACCGCAAGGGAAGCGCCGAGUUGAAGCCCCGGUAAACGGCGGCCGUAACUAUAACGGUCCUAAGGUAGCGAAAUUCCUUGUCGGGUAAGUUCCGACCUGCACGAAUGGUGUAAUGAUCCGGACGCUGUCUCAACCAUGAUCUCAGUGAAAUUGUAGUAUCGGUGAAGAUGCCGAUUACCCGCGAUGGGACGAAAAGACCCCGUGAACCUUUACUGCAGCUUAGCGCUGACCUUGGCCAUCGGAUGUGUAGGAUAGGCCGGAGGCAAUGAAGGCGCCACGCCAGUGGUGCCGGAGCCGCCGUUGAAAUACGGCCCUUCCGCUGUCCGGGGUCUAACGCGCGAUGCGCGGACACCGCUUGGCGGGCAGUUUGACUGGGGUGGUCGCCUC